CCACACUUGAAGGAAAAGAUAACCUAAGGGUGGGGCAGAGCUUUGAAGACAUCAUUUGUGGUUGUAGAGUGAUAAGGACCCACCUGAGCCUCCUUUUCUCCAGAUGAGACAACCCCAGCUCCCUCAGCUGCUCCUCAUAAGGCUCAUGCUCCAGGCCCUCUACCAGCUCUGCUGCCCUUCUCUGGACACAUUUCAGCACCUCAAUGUCUUUGUAGUAGUGAGGGGCCUAAAACCACAGGAUUUGAGAUGCUGCUGAGUAAAAGAGCACUGCUGCAGCAGUUCUUUUUAGAGAAAAAUGUCAUGCCUUCUGAAGAGAUUGAAAAACAGAGAUGACUUAUGGAUCACUUGGUCUUACCAGGAUGUAAGAACCAUGGAAAAACACACAUGGGCCUCCUGGAGACUGCUGAUGUGCUAAGGAAAGGGAGGAGUCAAAGACCCUCAGUUUGUGGCUGCUUUGGUGACAACCUGGCCCUGCUAGCUGCCCGCUGCUGAAAGCCUUUCCAUGCCUGACUGAGAUGCAGGAUGCGCAGGAAGCAGCAUCUCCUCCUUCCCCUCGGGCACAGCACUGUGGCUCUUCAACCCUCCCUCUGCCCGGAUCCGGGAGUGAAAACCUCAGCGCUUAGCCUGGCAUCCCGUCUGAAUCUGCUCCAGGGCAUGGGAAUCUGCUAUUGCCCAGCUGCUUUAGCAUCACAGAAUGCACGAUGCUCUGAUUCAGCCACCUGAGGUAGGCAGAGAACACGAAGAGGGAAAUUUCUCUACUUGCUUGAUUAGAGCAGUUACCAACCCAGACCAGCCCAAAAGAUCUGCACUAUUUCCAUUUCAAGUAACCCAGCUCCUUUGUAAAAGCACAAAUAAAGAGACCUUGUAGGAACAGUUUGUAAAACGAGGAAUACUGGGAAAGCAGAGCAGCUCCUCCUUGGCCACAGGUGCUUGACCUCUGCAUCUCUUUAUUUGGAUGGCUGCAUUUUCACCUCUAUUUACUUACUGCACUUCUUAAACAAGAACAAGGGCACCCUGAUGCUGCCUUUUUGUGUUUGGUUUCGGGUUUUUUUUGUCUUCUGUCAUUGUGUUGCUCUCAGAUUUUGUUGCAUCUGUUUCCUGUUAAGGAAGCUUCGUGCUGCCUUUUGUCCAGCAGGUGGAAGCCUUGCUGCACUACGUGUAGCUCAGCUGCCGGGCUAUAUAUAAACAUUUGAAAGGGGAGACAGGAGGUUUAAGCCAUUGGGGCAACGAGAUGCUAUUGAAUAGACGGUUUUCAAUUAAUAUAUUUUUUUUUAAUCACUUUGUUAGUCAAGGAGACAGAAUGGUAAGAAAGGCAAUCUCUGCACCAAAAUUUGAAAACCGGAAUUAAGUAGCUGAAUCCAGGAGAUGCCACUGGGGUAAAUCCCAGGUCUAUAAUUGGCUGUGAGAGGCUGCUGGGUUUUGUUCUAUAUUCAUUGUGUCAUCACAGCUGUAGAAUGUAACUUUUCUUGAGUUCAUGGAAUACACUUCCCAUAAGCACUUGCAGCUGGCAGAUUUAGAAAGAUUUUCUUGAAGUUCAGUGGGAGAGUACCAUUAACAUUUAUCAUAUUUUCUGAUCAGGGAAAAAAUACAUUUGAAAACAUUGGAGAUAUCUCUGUCCAGGGAAUGUAGGGGAGGCCACAGGACUUGCUGUGACUGGUGUGCAAGUGAGCAGACAAGAUAUUGCUUCUAAACCUGUGAAUACCACCCAAUCUGUUGUGUUGAUCUUCUUAGAGAUGCUCUAGAAUGUGCCUAGAGAUGUUUAAAGUUGCUUUUAAGAAGUAAUUAUCUGUGUGAAGAAAUUUAUUUGUAUAAAGUAGAUAAGGGUUAAUUUCAAUAAUAUGUAAUAUAGUUUGUACAUAUUAAAGUGAAGGAAUUUAUGAAGAGAUGAAAUAGAAUCUAUAGUGACUUUUUUUUGCUAUGAGGCUAUUAAACAUCUUUAUGUGAUUAGUGUGAACUAAAGGAAAAAUUGAAAAUGUUAUGGAUAAGGUAAGGUCUUGGUGUUGCACAGAGAGCUGGAAUAAGAACCAAGAAUUAAUGGAUUUAACAGACCUAAUAAUACAGAUAUACUUUUGAGUACCUGGAAUAUGCUUGAAGUUGUGAUCUUGGGUUUCAGAUCUCAGUGAUUUCCAGUAUUUCAAUGAC